rnacentral:rRNA from 1 species
UACGGGUGCGGAACACGUGUGCAACCUGCCUUUAUCUGGGGGAUAGCCUUUCGAAAGGAAGAUUAAUACCCCAUAAUAUGUUGAAUGGCAUCAUUCGACAUUGAAAACUCCGGUGGAUAGAGAUGGGCACGCGCAAGAUUAGAUAGUUGGUGAGGUAACGGCUCACCAAGUCUACGAUCUUUAGGGGGCCUGAGAGGGUGAUCCCCCACACUGGUACUGAGACACGGACCAGACUCCUACGGGAGGCAGCAGUGAGGAAUAUUGGACAAUGGGUGAGAGCCUGAUCCAGCCAUCCCGCGUGAAGGACGACUGCCCUAUGGGUUGUAAACUUCUUUUGUAUAGGGAUAAACCUACCCUCGUGAGGGUAGCUGAAGGUACUAUACGAAUAAGCACCGGCUAACUCCGUGCCAGCAGCCGCGGUAAUACGGAGGGUGCAAGCGUUAUCCGGAUUUAUUGGGUUUAAAGGGUCCGUAGGCGGAUCUGUAAGUCAGUGGUGAAAUCUCACAGCUUAACUGUGAAACUGCCAUUGAUACUGCAGGUCUUGAGUGUUGUUGAAGUAGCUGGAAUAAGUAGUGUAGCGGUGAAAUGCAUAGAUAUUAC